rnacentral:rRNA from 1 species
UACGUAGGGGGCAAGCGUUGUCCGGAAUCAUUGGGCGUAAAGCGCGUGUAGGCGGCUCGGUAAGUCCGCUCUGAAAGUCCGGGGCUCAACCCCGGGAGGCGGGUGGAUACUGUCGAGCUAGAGUCCGGAAGAGGCGAGUGGAAUUCCUGGUGUAGCGGUGAAAUGCGUAGAUAUCAGGAAGAACAUCGGUGGCGAAGGCGCUCUGCUGGACCAUAACUGACACUCAGGGACGAAAGCUAGGGGAGCGAAUGGG